UGCCAGCAGCCGCGGUAAUACGGAGGAUGCAGGCGUUAUCCGGAUUUAUUGGGUUUAAAGGGUGCGCAGGCGGGACGAUAAGUCAGUGGUGAAAUCCUACAGCUUAACUGUAGAACUGCCAUUGAUACUGUUGUUCUUGAGUACAGUUGAGGUAGGCGGAAUGUGUCAUGUAGCGGUGAAAUGCUUAGAUAUGACACAGAACACCGAUUGCGAAGGCAGCUUACUAAACUGUUACUGACGCUGAGGCACGAAAGCGUGGGGAGCAAACAGGAUUAGAUA
rnacentral:rRNA from 1 species